GGUUUUUCAAAACCCGUCGCAAGAGAAAAACGCGGUGGUAAUUCAUUGAACUUGAAAAGAAGAUCUGAAUCCGAAAUCACUUCAGCUCUUCCAUCAUCCUCCUCUUCUCAUUCUCCAAGCCCCUCAGCUUCCUCCCCAAACACUGCAAGAGAGAUCUAGAGGCAACAAAUCUUCUUGAUGGAGCUUUAGAGGUGACAGAUCUGUUCAUAGAUCUCUCUGGUGUUCCUGCUCGUGUUUGUUGCCAUAAUUGGAACCAGCACGGCCUCGAAGACGACAAUCUCGUAGGGCUUUUACCAGAAUAGAAGUCUCUGGUGUUUCUGCUCAUGUUUGUUGGCAUCGUCUGAACGCGCCACCACAAACCGUGCACCGCUCGUCGUGCACUGGUGGCCUCCGCGAGGGGUUGAAGUCUUGAACCCUAAGUAGGGAAAACUGUUGAUUCUUACAGAGAGUCGUAGAUACACCUGCGAAGAAGAGGCGAAGUAAAUUUAGGAAGGUCUUGGAAAUUCGAGGGCCACACUGGCUGUGUCAAUGCGGUGGCUUGGAAUUCCAAAGGUUCGUUACUGAUAUCUGGAUCAGAUGAUCAACGGGGUGAUCUAAGUGAUCAUGAAAGCCUUGUUAAGGCAAUCAAGCAAGUUGAUGUUGUAAUAUCCACACUAGGUGGACAACAAAUAGAUGAUCAAGUGAAGCUCAUAGCAGCAAUAAAAGAAGCUGGAAACAUCAAGAGGUUCCUCCCGUCUGAAUUUGGGCUUGAUGUGGAGCGUCACAAUGCAGUUGAGCCAGUGACUAGCUUUCUUGA